CGAGGGAGAGGUCUUACCAGACCUCAACAAGGAGCAGUCUGCAGAUGAGGCUGAUCUAUUCCAGAUCCAUGAUGCACAUCAAGAUGAUCUUGUUGGAGUUGAGAUUACUAGAGGGCAAAACCAAAUAAUCAGCCCAGGUACUUGUCUCUUCACUUAUCUAAGUUAUUGGAGUACACCAACCUCACAGCACUGACCUGCUCUUGAUGAACACCACCUACUAGAUGGGGAGGAGAAGCCAUACGAGAAUUUAAUGUGCAGCCUGCGUAUGAUGAAGAGCCUUUCCAUUUUUCUGUUGGAGAUGAUGACAUAGCUACAGGAGAUGAAGGAAUUAGUGCAGAUGGAAAUGGUAACUUUGAUUUUUAUGGUGAUCUUUUCAAUCUCAACUUACAUGCUUCCUGUCAACCAGAUGUAGACCAUUGUAAGUGUUUUUGUUUGUAUGUAUUUUCUUCCAUAGUUUGCCUACAUGCUUUCUUAUUACUGCUUAGUAGAAAAUACAAUGGCAAACAAGUUAAGAUUCUUUCUGAGUCAUUAGGUACAUACAUGCAUGCUCAGGAAUAAAUUCAAUGUAGAGUUACUUAAUCAAAGGACUAUAUGACAUUGUACUGAAAGCUAUAGCACAUAAUCAGAUUGUACUAGACAUAAUUUAUCUCAUAUUCAAGGUUUAUUUCUUGAUGAAUUAGUGGGUCAA
rnacentral:lncRNA from 1 species